rnacentral:rRNA from 1 species
AUUGAACGCUGGCGACAUGCCUUACACAUGCAAGUCGAACGGCAGCACGGGUGCUUGCACCUGGUGGCGAGUGGCGAACGGGUGAGUAAUACAUCGGAACAUGUCCUGUAGUGGGGGAUAGCCCGGCGAAAGCCGGAUUAAUACCGCAUACGAUCUUCGGAUGAAAGCGGGGGACCUUCGGGCCUCGCGCUAUAGGGUUGGCCGAUGGCUGAUUAGCUAGUUGGUGGGGUAAAGGCCUACCAAGGCGACGAUCAGUAGCUGGUCUGAGAGGACGACCAGUCACACUGGGACUGAGACACGGCCCAGACUCCUACGGGAGGCAGCAGUGGGGAAUUUUGGACAAUGGGCGAAAGCCUGAUCCAGCAAUGCCGCGUGUGUGAAGAAGGCCUUCGGGUUGUAAAGCACUUUUGUCCGGAAAGAAAUCCUUGGCCCUAAUACGGUCGGGGGAUGACGGUACCGGAAGAAUAAGCACCGGCUAACUACGUG